CCUACGGGAGGCAGCAGUGAGGAAUAUUGGUCAAUGGGCGCGAGCCUGAACCAGCCAAGUAGCGUGAAGGAUGACUGCCCUCCGGGUUGUAAACUUCUUUUAUAAAGGAAUAAAAUGAGGCACGUGUGCCUUUUUGCAUGUACUUUAUGAAUAAGGAUCGUCUAACUCCGUGCCAGCAGCCGCGGUACUACGGAGGAUCCGAGCGUUAUCCGGAUUUAUUGGGUUUAACGGGAGCGUAGAUGGGUUGUUACGACAGGUGUGAAAGUUUGCGGCUCAACCGUAAAAUUGCAAUUGAUACUGGCAGUCUUGAGUACAGUUGAGGUAAGCGGAAUUCGUGGUGUAGCGGUGAAAUGCUUAGAUAUCACGAAGAACUCCGAUUGCGAAGGCAGCUUACUAAACUGCCACUGACAUUGAGGCUCGAAAGUGUGGGUAUCAAACAGGAUUAGAUACCCCAGUAGUC
rnacentral:rRNA from 1 species